UACGUAGGGCGCAAGCGUUGUCCGGAAUUAUUGGGCGUAAAGAGCUCGUAGGCGGCCUGUUGCGUCCGCUGUGAAAUCCCGGGGCUCAACCCCGGGCCUGCAGUGGAUACGGGCUGGCUAGAGGCAGGCAGGGGAGAACGGAGUUCCUGGUGUAGCGGUGAAAUGCGCAGAUAUCAGGAGGAACACCGGUGGCGAAGGCGGUUCUCUGGGCCUGUACUGACGCUGAGGAGCGAAAGCGUGGGGAGCGAACAGG
rnacentral:rRNA from 1 species